rnacentral:rRNA from 1 species
UAGGGAAUAUUGGACAAUGGGGGAAACCCUGAUCCAGCAAUGCCGCGUGAGUGAUGAAGGCCUUAGGGUUGUAAAGCUCUUUUACCCGGGAUGAUAAUGACAGUACCGGGAGAAUAAGCUCCGGCUAACUCCGUGCCAGCAGCAGCGGUAAUACGGAGGGAGCUAGCGUUGUUCGGAAUUACUGGGCGUAAAGCGCACGUAGGCGGCUAUUCAAGUCAGAGGUGAAAGCCCGGGGCUCAACCCCGGAACUGCCUUUGAAACUAGAUAGCUUGAAUCCAGGAGAGGUGAGUGGAAUUCCGAGUGUAGAGGUGAAAUUCGUAGAUAUUCGGAAGAACACCAGUGGCGAAGGCGGCUCACUGGACUGGUAUUGACGCUGAGGUGCGAAAGCGUGGGGAGCAAACAGG